CCUACGGGAGGCAGCAGUGAGGAAUAUUGGUCAAUGGACGAGAGUCUGAACCAGCCAAGUAGCGUGAAGGAUGACUGCCCUAUGGGUUGUAAACUUCUUUUAUAAAGGAAUAAAACGAGGCACGUGUGCCUUUUUGCAUGUACUUUAUGAAUAAGGAUCGGCUUACUCCGUGCCAGCCGCCGCGGUAAUACGGAGGAUCCGAGCGUUAUCCGGAUUUAUUGGGUUUAAAGGGAGCGUAGAUGGGUUGUUAAGUCAGUUGUGAAAGUUUGCGGCUCAACCGUAAAAUGGCAAUUGAUACUGGGAGUCUUGAGUACAGUUGAGGUAAGCGGAAUGCGUGGUGUAGCGGUGAAAUGCUUAGAUAGCACGAAGAACCCCGAUUGCGAAGGCAGCUUACUAAACUGUGACUGACAUUGAUGCUCGAAAGUGUGGGUAUCAAACAGGAUUAGAUACCCGAGUAGUC
rnacentral:rRNA from 1 species